rnacentral:rRNA from 1 species
AGAGCGAACGCUGGCGGCAGGCCUAACACAUGCAAGUCGAGCGCGUGUAGCAAUACACGAGCGGCAGACGGGAGAGUAACACGUGGGAACGCGCCCUUUGGUUCGGAAUAACUCAGGGAAACUUGAGCUAAUACCGGAUAAGCCCUUACGGGGAAAGAUUUAUCGCCAAAGGAACGGCCCGCGUCCGAUUAGCUAGUUGGUGAGGUAACGGCUCACCAAGGCGACGAUCGGUAGCUGGUCUGAGAGGAUGACCAGCCUCACUGGGACUGAGACACGGCCCAGACUCCUACGGGAGGCAGCAGUGGGGAAUAUUGGACAAUGGGCGCAAGCCUGAUCCAGCCAUGCCGCGUGGAUGAUGAAGGCCUUAGGGUUGUAAAGUCCUUUUAACGGGAAGAUAAUGACGGUACCGUAGAAUAAGCCCGGCUAACUUCGUGCCAGCAGCCGC